rnacentral:rRNA from 1 species
UAGGGAAUCUUCGGCAAUGGGGGGAACCCUGACCGAGCAACGCCGCGUGAGUGAAGAAGGUUUUCGGAUCGUAAAGCUCUGUUGUUAAGGAAGAACGAGUGUGAGAAUGGAAAGUUCAUGCUGUGACGGUACUUAACCAGAAAGGGACGGCUAACUACGUGCCAGCAGCCGCGGUAAUACGUAGGUCCCGAGCGUUUUCCGGAUUUAUUGGGCGUAAAGCGAGCGCAGGCGGUUAGAAAAGUCUGAAGUGAAAGGCAGUGGCUCAACCAUUGUAGGCUUUGGAAACUGUUUAACUUGAGUGCAGAAGGGGAGGGGGGAAUUCCAUGUGUAGCGGUGAAAUGCGUAGAUAUAUGGAGGAACACCGGUGGCGAAAGCGGCUCUCUGGUCUGUAACUGACGCGGAGGCUCGAAAGCGUGGGGAGCGAACAGG